rfam:Candida parapsilosis strain CDC317 annotated contig 006372
GCUCUUUUAGCUCAGUUGGUAGAGCGUUGCACUUGUAAUGCAAAGGUCACUAGUUCGACUCUGGUAGGGAGCA